CCUACGGGGGGCUGCAGCUAAGAAUCUUGCGCAAUGGGCGAAAGCCUGACGCAGCAAUUCCGCGUGGAGGACGAAGGCCCUCGGGUCGUAAACUCCUUUUGCGAGGGAAGAAGUUCUGACGGUACCUCGCGAAUAAGCCACGGCUAACUACGUGCCAGCAGCCGCGGUAAUACGUAGGUGGCGAGCGUUGUCCGGAUUUAUUGGGCGUAAAGAGCCCGCAGGCGGCUUGGCAAGUUUCGAGUGAAAUCUCCCGGCUCAACUGGGAGGGGGCUCGGAAAACUGCCAGGCUUGAGGCAGGGAGAGGGAUGUGGAAUUCCCGGUGUAGUGGUGAAAUGCGUAGAUAUCGGGAGGAACACCAGUGGCGAAGGCGGCAUCCUGGCCCUGUCCUGACGCUCAGGGGCGAAAGCGUGGGGAGCAAACCGGAUUAGAUACCCCAGUGUC
rnacentral:rRNA from 1 species